GCGCCUGUAGCUCAACGGAUAGAGUGCUGGUCUUCGGAACCAGUGAUGGGGGUUCGAUUCCCUCCAGGCGCACCA
rnacentral:tRNA from 1 species